UCUGGCUGACAGAAAGCCCAAAGAAGGAGGCAAGAUUGAGAACAACAAUCCUAUUAAUUUGAAGGUGGCAGGGCAGAAUGGGUCUGUGGUGCAGUUUAAGAUUAAAAGACUCCGUCUUAAAAAAAAAAAAAAAAAGGUGUAUACCACUUAGUAAAUUAAUGAAAGCCUAUUGUGAACAGGGUUAGGCAAUGAGGUUGAUCAGAUUCUAGACUUCAUGUGCAACCAAUCAAUGAAAUAGACACACCUGUAAAGUUGAAGAUGGAGGCUAAAGAUACAAUUAAUGUGUUCCAAGGAC
rnacentral:lncRNA from 1 species